rnacentral:rRNA from 1 species
AUUGAACGCUGGCGGCAGGCCUAACACAUGCAAGUCGAACGAGUGGCGGACGGGUGAGUAAUGUCUGGGAAACUGCCCGAUGGAGGGGGAUAACUACUGGAAACGGUAGCUAAUACCGCAUACCAUCGGAUGUGCCCAGAUGGGAUUAGCUUGUAGGUGAGGUAACGGCUCACCUAGGCGACGAUCCCUAGCUGGUCUGAGAGGAUGACCAGCAACACUUGGACUGAGACACGGUCUGGACUCCUAGGGGAGGCAUAAGUGGGGAAUAUUGCACAAUGGGGGCAAGCCUGAGGCAGCCAUGCCGCGUGUAUGAAGAAGGCCUUCGGGUUGUAAAGUACGUGCAGCGGGGAGGCGUUACCCGCAGAAGAAGCACCGUCUAACUCCGUGCCAGCCGCCGCGGUAAUAC